rnacentral:rRNA from 1 species
AGAACGAACGCUGGCGGCGUGCUUAACACAUGCAAGUCGAGCGGAAAGGCCCUUCGGGGUACUCGAGCGGCGAACGGGUGAGUAACACGUGAGUAAUCUGCCCCUAGCUCUGGGAUAGCUCCGGGAAACCGGGAUUAAUACCGGAUACGACCACUACGGACAUCUGUGGUGGUGGAAAGAACUUCGGCUAGGGAUGAGCUCGCGGCCUAUCAGCUUGUUGGUGGGGUAACGGCCUACCAAGGCGACGACGGGUA